rnacentral:rRNA from 1 species
CCUACGGGAGGCAGCAGUGGGGAAUUUUGGACAAUGGGCGCAAGCCUGAUCCAGCAAUGCCGCGUGAGUGAAGAAGGCCUUCGGGUUGUAAAGCUCUUUUGUCAGGGAAGAAACGGUGGGAGCUAAUAUCUCCUACUAAUGACGGUACCUGAAGAAUAAGCACCGGCUAACUACGUGCCAGCAGCCGCGGUAAUACGUAGGGUGCAAGCGUUAAUCGGAAUUACUGGGCGUAAAGCGUGCGCAGGCGGUUUUGUAAGUCUGUCGUGAAAGCCCCGGGCUCAACCUGGGAAUUGCGAUGGAGACUGCGAGGCUUGAAUCUGGCAGAGGGGGGUAGAAUUCCACGUGUAGCAGUGAAAUGCGUAGAGAUGUGGAGGAACACCGAUGGCGAAGGCAGCCCCCUGGGUCAAGAUUGACGCUCAUGCACGAAAGCGUGGGGAGCAAACAGGAUUAGAUACCCUGGUAGUCCACGCCCUAAACGAUGUCUACUAGUUGUCGGGUUUUAAUUAACUUGGUUAACGCAGCUAACGCGUGAAGUAGACCGCCUGGGGAGUACGGUCGCAAAGAUUAAAAACGUCAAAAGGAAAUUGACGGCUGAGAGNGACGACGGACGACGACGAGGGAGGAGG